rnacentral:rRNA from 1 species
GGGGAAAAUUGCGCAUGGGGGGAACCCUGGCGGAGCCAAAACGGGGGGGUGAAAGAAGGUUUUGGGAUGGAAAGGCCCGGUUAUUGGGGAAGAAAAAAGGAGGUUCCCAAGGAAGAAAGUCCGGGCUACCUACGUGCCAGCAGCCGCGGUAAUACGUAGGGGACAAGCGUUGUCCGGAUUUACUGGGCGUAAAGGGCACGCAGGCGGUUUUUUAAGUCAGAUGUGAAAGGUACCGGCUCAACCGGUAACAUGCAUUUGAAACUGAAAGACUUGAGUAUUGGAGAGGCAAGUGGAAUUCCUAGUGUAGCGGUGAAAUGCGUAGAUAUUAGGAGGAACACCGGUGGCGAAGGCGGCUUGCUGGACAAAUACUGACGCUGAGGUGCGAAAGCGUGGGGAGCAAACA